CCUACGGGUGGCAGCAGUAAGGAAUAUUGGUCAAUGGACGAAAGUCUGAACCAGCCAUGCCGCGUGGAGGAUUAAGGCGCUCUGCGUUGUAAACUCCUUUUAUAUGGGACGAAAAAAGGUUAUUCUUAACCACUUGACGGUACCAUAGGAAUAAGCACCGGCUAACUCCGUGCCAGCAGCCGCGGUAAUACGGAGGGUGCAAGCGUUAUCCGGAUUUACUGGGUUUAAAGGGUGCGCAGGUGGAUAUUUAAGUCAGUGGUGAAAUCUCCGAGCUUAACUCGGAAACUGCCGUUGAUACUAUAUAUCUUGAAUCUUCUGGAGGUAAGCGGAAUAUGUCAUGUAGCGGUGAAAUGCUUAGAUAUGACAUGGAACACCAAUUGCGAAGGCAGCUUACUACGGGAGCAUUGACACUCAGGCACGAAAGCGUGGGUAGCGAACAGGAUUAGAUACCCUGGUAGUC
rnacentral:rRNA from 1 species